rnacentral:rRNA from 1 species
UACAGAGGGUGCGAGCGUUAAUCGGAAUUACUGGGCGUAAAGCGUGCGUAGACGGUUUCGUAAGUCGGGUGUGAAAGCCCCGGGCUCAACCUGGGAAUUGCAUUCGAGACUGCGGAGCUAGGGUGCGGAAGAGGGAAGCGGAAUUUCCGGUGUAGCGGUGAAAUGCGUAGAUAUCGGAAGGAACAUCAGUGGCGAAAGCGGCUCACUGGACCAUAACUGACGCUGAUGCACGAAAGCUAGGGGAGCAAACAGG